GACGAACGCUGGCGGCGUGCUUAACACAUGCAAGUCGAACGGAAAGGCCCUGCUUUUGGGGGGUUCUCGAGGGGCGAAGGGGUGUGUAACACGGGAGUAACCCCCCCCUGACUGUGGGAUAACUUCAGGAAACGGGGGCUUAUACCGGAGAAGAGCUCCUGCUGCAUGUGGGUGGAUGGAAAUUUUCGGCGUUUGGGAAUGGACUCGCGGCUUAUCAGCUUGUUGGGGGGGUAGGGGCUUACAAAGGCUUUGACGGGUAGCCGGCCUGGGAGGGGGACCGGCAACAUGGGGACUAGGAUAGGGCCCAGACCCUAACGGGAGGAAGCAGUGGGGAUAUUUGCCCAAUGGGGGGAAGCCUGUUGAGGCACGCCGGGGUGCGGGAUACGGGCUUUGGGGUGGUAACCCGUUUUCGCAUGUGCCGAACCGUGAGUGACGGUACCGGGUAAAGAAGCACCGGCUAACUACGUG
rnacentral:rRNA from 1 species